CCUACGGGAGGCAGCAGUGAGGAAUAUUGGUCAAUGGGCGCGAGCCUGAACCAGCCAAGUAGCGUGAAGGAUGACUGCCCUAUGGGUUGUAAACUUCUUUUAUAUGGGAAUAAAGUGCAGCAUGUGUGCCCCUUUGCAUGUACCUUAUGAAUAAGGAUCGGCUAACUCCGUGCCAGCAGCCGCGGUAAUACGGAGGAUCCGAGCGUUAUCCGGGUUUAUUGGGUUUAAAGGGAGCGUAGGUGGGUUGUUAAGUCAGUUGUGAAAGUUUGCGGCUCAACCGUAAAAUUGCAGUUGAUACUGGCAGCCUUGAGUACAGUAGAGGUAGGCGGAAUUCGUGGUGUAGCGGUGAAAUGCUUAGAUAUCACGAAGAACUCCGAUUGCGAAGGCAGCUUACUGGACUGCAACUGACACUGAGGCUCGAAAGUGUGGGUAUCAAACAGGAUUAGAUACCCCUGUAGUC
rnacentral:rRNA from 1 species